AUGCACGCUAGCUACAGGCUUAACACAUGCAAGUCGAGGGGAAACGACAUCGAAAGCUUGCUUUUGAUGGGCGUCGACCGGCGCACGGGUGAGUAACGCGUAUCCAACCUGCCCACCACUUGGGGAUAACCUUGCGAAAGUAAGACUAAUACCCGAUGAUAUCUCUAUAAGACAUCUGAAAGGGAUUAAAGAUUUAUCGGUGAUGGAUGGGGAUGCGUCUGAUUAGCUUGUUGGCGGGGUAACGGCCCACCAAGGCGACGAUCAGUAGGGGUUCUGAGAGGAAGGUCCCCCACAUUGGAACUGAGACACGGUCCAAACUCCUACGGGAGGAAGCAGUGAGGAAUAUUGGUCAAUGGGCGAGAGCCUGAACCAGCCAAGUAGCGUGCAGGAUGACGGCCCUAUGGGUUGUAAACUGCUUUUAUAAGGGAAUAAAGUGAGUCUCGUGAGACUUUUUGCAUGUACCUUAUGAAUAAGGACCGGCUAAUUCCGUG
rnacentral:rRNA from 1 species